rnacentral:rRNA from 1 species
GAUGAACGCUGGCGGCGUGCUUAACACAUGCAAGUCGAACGGAAAGGCUCCUGCUUGCAGGGGUACUCGAGUGGCGAACGGGUGAGUAACACGUGGGUGAUCUGCCCUGCACUUCGGGAUAAGCCUGGGAAACUGGGUCUAAUACCGGAUAGGACGAUGGUUUGGAUGCCAUUGUGGAAAGUUUUUCGGUGUGGGAUGAGCUCGCGGCCUAUCAGCUUGUUGGUGGGGUAAUGGCCUACCAAGGCGUCGACGGGUAGCCGGCCUGAGAGGGUGUACGGCCACAUUGGGACUGGGAUACGGCCCAGACUCCUACGGGAGGCAGCAGUGGGGAAUAUUGCACAAUGGGCGCAAGCCUGAUGCAGCGACGCCGCGUGGGGGAUGACGGCCUUCGGGUUGUAAACUCCUUUCGCUAGGGACGAAGCGCAAGUGACGGUACCUGGAGAAGAAGCACCGGCUAACUACGUG